rnacentral:rRNA from 1 species
GGCGCGCUCUGCGCGCACCGGCGGACGGCUCAGUAACACGUCGGUAACCUACCCUCGGGAGGGGGAUAACCCCGGGAAACUGGGGCUAAUCCCCCAUAGGCCUGGGGUACUGGAAGGUCCCCAGGCCGAAAGGGGCUUUUGCCCGCCCGAGGAUGGGCCGGCGGCCGAUUAGGUAGUUGGUGGGGUAACGGCCCACCAAGCCGAAGAUCGGUACGGGCCAUGAGAGUGGGAGCCCGGAGAUGGACACUGAGACACGGGUCCAGGCCCUACGGGGCGCAGCAGGCGCGAAACCUCCGCAAUGCGGGCAACCGCGACGGGGGGACCCCCAGUGCCGUGGCACAGCCACGGCUUUUCCGGAGUGUAAAAAGCUCCGGGAAUAAGGGCUGGGCAAGGCCGGUGGCAGCCGCCGCGGUAAUACCGGCGGCCCAAGUGGUGGCCGCUAUUAUUGGGCCUAAAGC